rnacentral:rRNA from 1 species
AUCUCUGUAGAGUCUGCAUAUCAAUAAGCGGAGGAAAAGAAACUAACUAAGGAUUCCCUCAGUAACGGCGAGUGAAGCGGGAAGAGCUCAAAUUUGAAAUCUUCAAGGUUCUACCUUGACGAAUUGUAGUUUAAAGAAGUGUUUUCUGUAGUGGAGUUCGGUAAAAGUUCUUUGGAAUAGGACAUCAUAGAGGGUGAGAAUCCCGUAUUUGGACCAUUAUUUCCUAGCUUUGUGAUACACUUUCAAAGAGUCGGAUUGUUUGGGAAUGCAGUCCAAAAUGGGUGGUAAAUUUCAUCUAAAGCUAAAUAUUGGCGAGAGACCGAUAGCGAACAAGUACCGUGAGGGAAAGAUGAAAAGAACUUUGAAAAGAGAGUUAAACAGUACGUGAAAUUGUCAAAAGGGAAGCGUUUGACACCAGUGUUGUUUUUCCGAAAAUCAAUUAAGAAUGUUUUAUUUUUGAGGAGUUAUGACUUCAUCGGCUUGCUCCUUUCUUUAUGGAACUUUCUUAAUGCACUUUUCGGUUAACAAGUCAACAUCAAUUUCUUUUGUUGUAAAAGGGUAUGAGGAAGGUGGCUUUCUUUUCGGAGAAAGUGUUUCAUAGCCUUGUGCCUCUGCAAUCGGAGAGAUUGAGGUCUGCAGCGUAGAUCCUUCGGGGUUAGAUACGUUUGUGCUAAGUUAUAGCUUUUCAUAGACAACUUGUUGACUAUGUUUAGUCUUGUGGCUUACUCGCUGACGCUAUUUUACCUACGCUUAGGAUGUUGAGUAGCGACAUACGCAC